rnacentral:rRNA from 1 species
CGGAUGCCUACAAGCAGUCGGAGCAGAAGGAUCUUCGGAUCUGAACUGUGACGGCGUACCUUUUGUAUAAUGGGUCAGCGAGUUAGUGUAUGUAGCAAGCUUAAGCCGAUAGGUGUAGGCGCAGCGAAAGCGAGUCUGAAUAGGGCGACUGAGUUUGAUGCAUUAGACCCGAAACCCGGCGAUCUAGGCAUGACCAGGUUGAAGGUGCGGUAACACGCACUGGAGGACCGAACCGUUUAAUGUUGAAAAAUUAUCGGAUGAGUUGUGUUUAGGGGUGAAAGGCCAAUCAAGCCGGGAAAUAGCUGGUUCUCCGCGAAAACUAUUGAGGUAGUGCCUCGGAUGUUUUCCUCAGGGGGUAGAGCACUGGAUGGGCUAGGGGGUCGCGAGAUCUACCAAACCUAACCAAACUCCGAAUACCAACGAGUCUAGUUCGGCAGACAGACGGCGGGUGCUAAGGUCCGUCGUCAAAAGGGAAACAGCCCUAACCUACAGCUAAGGUCCCCAAGUCACGUCUAAGUGGGAAAGCAUGUGGGAUUUCCAAAACAACCAGGAGGUUGGCUUAGAAGCAGCCAUCCUUUAAAGAAAGCGUAACAGCUCACUGGUCUAAAUAAGAGAUCCUGCGGCGAAAAUGUAACGGGGCUAAAGAUAUGUACCGAAGCUUAGGGUGUGCAAUUUAUUGCAUGCGGUAGCGGAGCGUUCCGUAGGCCGAUGAAGCGAUCUGGUAAUGGGUCGUGGAGGUAUCGGAAGUGCGAAUGCAGACAUGAGUAGCGAUAGGAGGGUGAGACACCCUCCCGCCGAAAGACCAAGGGUUCCUGCUUAAAGCUAAUCUGAGCAGGGUAAGCCGGCCCCUAAGACGAGCCCGAAGGGGGUAGUCGAUGGGAACCACGUUAAUAUUCGUGGGCCUGGUGGUGUGUGACGGAUCUCGUGAGUUGUCAGUCCUUAUUGGAUUGGACUGGCUUCGAAGAGGUUCCAGGAAAUAGCCCCACCGUAUAGACCGUACCCGAAACCGACACAGGUGGUCAGGUAGAGUAUACCAAGGCGCUUGAGAGAAGUAUCCUGAAGGAACUCGGCAAAUUGCCUCCGUACCUUCGGAAGAAGGAGGCCCUCACAUUGCGCAAGCAGUAUGAGGGGGCACAGGCCAGGGGGUAGCGACUGUUUAGCAAAAACACAGGACUCUGCUAAGUCGGCUUCAAGACGACGUAUAGGGUCUGACGCCUGCCCGGUGCCGGAAGGUUAAGAGGAGGAGUGCAAGCUCCGAAUUGAAGCCCCGGUAAACGGCGGCCGUAACUAUAACGGUCCUAAGGUAGCGAAAUUCCUUGUCGGGUAAGUUCCGACCU